rnacentral:rRNA from 1 species
GACGAACGCUGGCGGCGUGCUUAACACAUGCAAGUCGAACGGAAAGGCCCUGCUUUUGUGGGGUGCUCGAGUGGCGAACGGGUGAGUAACACGUGAGUAACCUGCCCUUGACUUUGGGAUAACUUCAGGAAACUGGGGCUAAUACCGGAUAGGAGCUCCUGCUGCAUGGUGGGGGUUGGAAAGUUUCGGCGGUUGGGGAUGGACUCGCGGGUUAUCAGCGUGUUGGUGGGGUAGUGGCUUACCAAGGCUUUGCCGGGUAGCCGGCCUGGGAGGGUGACCGGCCACAUGGGGCCUGAGAGACGGACCAGACUCCUACGGGAGGCAGCAGUGGGGAAUAUUGCACAAUGGGCGGAAGCGUGAUGCAGCAACGCCGCGUGCGGGAUGACGGCCUUCGGGGUGUAAACCGCUUUCGCAUGUGCCGAAGCGUGAGUGACGGUAAUGGGUAAAGAAGCACCGGCUAACUACGUG